UGGCCUCUGAGAAGUGCUCCCUCUCUCUUCUUUCCUAAGCCCCUUGGCCAGCUCCUCCCCAGGGCCCAGGGUCAGCCUAGAGGUCAGGUUUUUCUGUGACACCUUUCUUGACGUUCCGCGGCCCUUUUGGGUGGAUUUACCCGCGUCCUAGCAUCCAGCGUGCACCCCAGGACCCCUGUCUCUGCCUCGCUGUCUGCCUCUGCACCAUGGGCAUUAAAAAGGCAUCUAUGGCCUGGUAUGGUGGUUCUCACGCCUGUCAUCCCAGCAACUGGGGGUGAAGGCUGAGGCAGGAGGAUUGCGAGUUCAAAGCCAGCCUCAGCAACUUAGCAAGGCGCUAAGCAACUCAGUGAGACCCUGUCUCUAAAUAAAAUACAGAAUAGGGCUGGGGAUGGGGCUCAGUGGUCGAGUGCCCCUGAGUUCAAUCCCUGGUAGAAAAAAAAAUAUGUGAGGCCCUUGGAAGUGUGCCUGGCAGGUAUGUAAGGGUGGCCUUAGGCCUGAUUCUAAGCAACUCCAUUUUAAAACGCUGCUUUGAAACCUGCAGCCUCACCAGGCCACCCCUACGGAGCCCUCCAAUAUGGCCAUCAGGCAUGGCCCUGACAUAAAUAAGCCACUUCUCCCCAUCCCGACAAACUCAGAGUAAAGUCUCUGUCAUGUUGCCCUCGCCACCAUAAGUGGGAGAGGCAAGAAAUCAGGAUGGGGACCCCCAGACCAGAUGCUUUAACCUCAGGGUGAAUGACGUCACUGAGAAAUCUGGUGGCAGCUGAUUGGGAUUUUGAAAGGCUGGUCAGAAACCCCAGAAUUUAGUAUAAAUGAUGGAGAAAGCAAACAGACAUUCAGCCAGCCCACACUGAUGCCCUCAGGCUGGAGAGCCUGAUGGGGACCUGGACUGACACCCCCACUCUUCUCAUCUGCCUGAUCCUCUGCGUUGCUCUCUCUGCUCUUGAACUCUACAGCAGCCUCUGGACUCUGGGGAGAAAAGGACUUCUCCCUACAACCCUCUCCUCAGCCGGCCAUCAGCUCCACCCCGGGAGAAGCCUGCCUGGGGCCCUGACCUGACCACCGGGGUCUGAGUGAGUGGGCAUCUGCUGGACUCAGAGCCUAAGGCUUGAGACUUUAGAUCUGACACUUGAGCUCAGCAUGCAGAGGGAAUGUCUGUCACGGGCCUGUCAUGAUUAAGUGUGUUUGCAGUGCUUAGAACUAAUCUAGAAAUGUUUGUUGUGGUUGGAUUCUGUCGAUGGCAGUGCCCAGCAUUAAGGAUUGUCACUUUCUUGAUUCAGAACCUAUAGAGUGGAAUUGUAUUGAGCGAUUUGAGUGAAUAAAGCAUUGAAAAGGGCAGAA
rnacentral:lncRNA from 1 species